rnacentral:rRNA from 1 species
AGCGAACGCUGGCGGCAGGCUUAACACAUGCAAGUCGAGCGGAUGUAGCAAUACAUCAGCGGCAGACGGGUGAGUAACACGUGGGAACGUACCUUUUGGUUCGGAACAACACAGGGAAACUUGUGCUAAUACCGGAUAAGCCCUUACGGGGAAAGAUUUAUCGCCGAAAGAUCGGCCCGCGUCUGAUUAGCUAGUUGGUGAGGUAACGGCUCACCAAGGCGACGAUCAGUAGCUGGUCUGAGAGGAUGAUCAGCCACAUUGGGACUGAGACACGGCCCAAACUCCUACGGGAGGCAGCAGUGGGAAUAUUGGACAAUGGGCGCAAGCCUGAUCCAGCCAUGCCGCGUGAGUGAUGAA